GAAAAUUGGGAUCCUACAUGAUCCGAGGUCACCUGGAGAAAAGAUUGAUGGUGUCGGCAGGCGCCGGCCGGGCCUACAGAUCGGGUGACGAAGCCCCAUACGCUCGAGGACCGGACGCGGUGCCGCCGCUGCCUUUCGGGCCCGUCCCGGGGGGGACGGGGGCCCAACACACAAGCCGUGCUUGAGGGCAGCAAUGACGCUCGGACAGGCAUGCCCCCCGGAAUACCAGGGGGCGCAAUGUGCGUUCAAAGACUCGAUGAUUCACUGAAUUCUGCAAUUCACAUUACUUAUCGCAUUUCGCUGCGUUCUUCAUCGAUGCCGGAACCAAGAGAUCCGUUGUUGAAAGUUUUAAUAAAUUUAGCUUUUCGCUCAGACUGCAAUCUUCAUACAGCGUUCACAGGUGUCUUCGGCGGGCGCGGGCCCGGGGACGGGAGCCCCCCGGCGGCCUUGCGGCGGGCCCGCCGAAGCAACAAGGUACGAUAAACACGGGUGGGAGGUUGGACCCAGAGGGCCCUCACUCGGUAAUGAUCCUUCCGCAGGUUCACCUACCGAAAGGGCCCCCCGGGCCCAACCACCCACCGGGAAAAAAAAAACUUAUAGGUUUUUUUUUCUUAAGGAUGGUUUUGGUUAUAUGUUAUUUUUUAU
rnacentral:misc_RNA from 1 species